AUGGAAUUUUCUUUAAAAUUCUGGCAUUUUGUGCAACAUGAGUUUUGGUGCUCCAUUUUCUUGGAGAAUUUUCAUUUUUUCUGUAUCCUCAAAAGUCUUCUGGAAGAAAUGAAAUCCAAACUGAUCAUUGUAAACUGCACAAGCAUGGUGGAGAAGGGACACUAAAACAUCAUUUGGUCAAGUAGUUAGGGGUUGAUAAGCUGAAGUCUCACCAUAUGUUGACAUUGUUAAGAGAUGGCCAACACAAAUGAAAAACCAAGCAUGUAUAGCGUCUAGGAAAAAGAGAUGACGAUCUUUCACUCUCCUCAGCUCAGAUCUCAGCAGGAACUUUGGGCUUCACCUGGGUGCCAUUUAGAACAGUGAGGAAUUGGAACACAUCUGAGUGAGGGUAAGCAGAAUGUAAAACCCUAGAAACUGGCAUGGUGUGGAACAGGGGAAGGUCCAUCAUACUCAGACAGCCAUUUGUAAAGGAUGUUACUGCUCAGACCCAUGCUUAGUAGAGAGUUGCACUAAGUGACCUCUAUGAUGCUUGUAAAUUCUAAAAUUCUAAGACUUUGGAAUUAUUGAUUGAAUAGUAUUUUCUUCACUCUCCCUUCUGUCGAAUAGUUUGCCUUGAAGAGAAAACACAGUAGCAAAAAUGUCCAAAUCAUAUUUUUUAAGGUAUAUUCAUUCCUACAAAGUUGUCCAACUGGAGGGUAGGAUAAGAAAAACACAGUAAGUGUCCAGAAUUUACUGGUUACAGAAUUGCUAACUGUAGAGGACUAUUUCUAUUUGUUUGGUUAUUUUUUUUCUAGGAAGGAAAAUUUUAUAUUUCCAAGGUGUUUCAAAAAAGAAAGAACAAUAUAUCACUCAACUUCUCUUCUCCUUUAUUCCAUCAUAAUAAUAAAGAACUAACCCCUAAUUCAAAGAAUAUUGUGUGGAUGAUGCACUUUUUCAACAUUCUACAAUUCAAAAAGAUGUUGAUAUCAACAUUUUAAAUGCAGAAAAGCUGAGAACUGCCAAAACAAAAACACAACAAAAAUAAACAAACAAAAAUUUCUCCAUGGCAUCUUUCUCAGCUUGGGAAAUGUUUUUGCACAUCUACUAUUAAAUAAUUGCUCCUGAUAAUAUGGUAUUCUGGUUAUAUUCAGUGAGUUUGUUUGUUUUCCAGAGUUAACAAUCAUGUCUUUAUCUUUAAUCUUACAUAGCUCAAACGAAUGAGAAAUUCCUGUUUCUAUAGGUCUUCAGUGAUGCUCCACCAAUCCCAAAUGUUGGAAAAAACUCUUUAUAACGAGUGAGCCAAAUCACUCGUGCUUUUGUUUGAACCCAUGUUCUCCUUCUGAAUUCUCAUCAAAGACGGUGA
rnacentral:lncRNA from 1 species